rnacentral:misc_RNA from 1 species
ACUGUUUUGUAUGGAUUAGCAGAGGACACGUUAAGAACCGGGGGUUCAACCAAUCCUAAAGAUGUUUCCCCCAAUGAGUUGUAUAGCCAAUCUGCUAUCUACAUCGCAGCUGCUCAUGCAUUGAAACCAAAUUACUCUGUAUACAGCAGUGCCUUGAGACUUGUGCGUUCAAUGUUACCAUUGCCAUAUCUUAAAGUUGGGUAUCUGACUGCACCACCGGCAGGGGAACCAAUUGCACCUCAUAAUGACUGGAAGAGAUCCCAAUUUGUAUUAAAUCAUGAAGGGCUUCAACAGGUUAACAAAUUAGAGCAAAAACAAACUCAGAGCCUCUCUGGUAGACCAGAUGUGACAAAUAGCGAAAAAAGGGCUAUUAAAGUCAAUGUACCAGAUAUUGUUUCUGUAUCAGCCUGUGCUGAUCUGACUUUGCCACCUGGUGCAGGCCUUUGCAUUGAUACAGUUCAUGGACCAUUUUUCUCGAUUGCUGACUCAUGGGAAUCCCUGGAUGGAUGGCUGGAUGCAAUCCGUCUAGUUUACACAAUCUAUGCACGGGGUAAAAGUGAAGUCCUAGCAGGUAUUGUCACAGGCUGAUUAUAUUUAUUAUUACAUUCAUGACCAAUGCAAUAUACUUGUCAAGAUUUAUGGUAUUCAAAUUUGGUCAUUUGAAUAAGAAUUCUGUAUAUUCAAAAUUUUGGCAUAGCGUGAGGUUUAUCAAAUAUUCACUGCAUUACAUAUUGAGUGUAGAUUGUUUUGUUUUAUACG